GGAAGAGGAUGAGCUGUCAAAUGGCUAUUUUUUUACAAGUAAGUUCAUAAACUGUUUCAAGUAUCAACACAUAAGAAGCCAGACCUCCAAUUGAACCAGUCCAUCGCCACACCUUGGUCUUCAACCGUUAAAUAAAUACCAGCAUUUACCGCCCAGGGAUUGAUUGGUUGGAGGCCGCACAUGCCUGUGUUAGUGGUGUCAGCCGGAGCAAGGGCAGGCACGCUGUUAAACAAGUGCUUCAUGACACAUUCAUGAACACAGGCAGAGAGGGGAGGGAAGGGGACCCAUUGCUUUAACCUUUCACCCAUUUCUCCCACCCUCUCUGCAAACUGUGGGAAUCCAGGGAAGCCAGUUAACUUCAGUGAAACCUGCAGCCUGGUUAAAGCAGAAGAAGAAGACAAUGGAAAACCAUAACCUCUUCUCUCUCCGUGUACUUGAGCGGUGGAUUCAAGCACCAAUUAUUUGUGCAUGAUGUGGCUGUAAUCAAAUGCGCUAAAGGAUAAUGUCUUGAAUUGCCUUUUCUGUGCAUGACUAGUUGCUGACAUGGCAAAACGAGCCCCAAAGACAUGACAUAACAAGCUCUGCCAGGCCUGUGACUUCUGCUGAAUAGUUUGUAAGCACACACGCAAGAUGCACAAACUGUUCUUUCUAAAUGUCUGCAGUCACCGUGUUACCGGGGGUUUGGAUAUCACCAUCAUCACUGCAGGAUGAUUGCGUGUGUGUGUGUGCGUGUGCGUGUGUGUGUGUGUUUGUGUACAAGUGUCUGUGCGAGUUGCCUAGCACCUGGUAACUGUAUAGGCCGAAACCUUAUCAUCCUGCCUUUCAAAGGCUCUCACUGUGCUGGAUUCUUGCUGUGGUCUCUCGCUGGUGUGGCAAUAAGGCGACAAAGUCUGCCAGAAGAAAAAUUGGGAGCACUGUGUUUUUAAUGGCAGUGACACACCGUAGGAAUCCUGAACGCUUGCAUGGUUCAGGUUUAUAUGCUCCAACGCUCUGGGUGACCUGUCCACUUUGUGCAGAUCAAAGAUCUCGAAAAACCAGUUUGCUCUGGUUGUCCUGGCCAGUGCACAUUGUGCAUGUCUAAACAGUGUCCUUCUAUUGUUUUGUUUUUUUCUGAUGAUUAUUGACCAUCAUUUCUCAACCUGUCUAACUUUUACAAGUUCUCUUCUUUAUUAUUUGUUUCCCUUUCUCCUUUUGCAAAUCUUUUGGGGUUUCCUAAAUUGUGAGGAGGUUCCAAGUGUAAUAAUCUGUUCACAUUUGCUCAAUUCUGCUCUUCAGUUUUGAUGCUGUUGCAUUAUAUGUUCAAAUAAAAUGACAAAUAAAAAACACACGCCACCUGCAA